rnacentral:rRNA from 1 species
UACGUAGGGUCCGAGCGUUGUCCGGAAUUAUUGGGCGUAAAGGGCUCGUAGGCGGUUCGUCACGUCGGGAGUGAAAACUCGGAGCUUAACUCCGAGCCUGCUUCCGAUACGGGCAGACUAGAGGUAGGCAGGGGAGAGCGGAACUCCUGGUGUAGCGGUGAAAUGCGCAGAUAUCAGGAAGAACACCAAUGGCGAAGGCAGCUCUCUGGGACGGUACUGACGCUGAGACGCGAAAGCGUGGGGAGCGAACAGG